GUGCCUAAAACUAACAGUAAGGAAAACCGUCCAACCUUGCUAACUGCUUGGUUGAUGUGCUUCUAGGCAGUAGAGUUGGGGCAUUGCUCUUUUGCAGUGUUUUGGCUCUAUGAAGCGCCAAUUUUUGAGUGGGCACAGGUCGUCCCUUCGAACUCAUGCGCUCACUACUUUUCGAGUCGUAGAGUUUGGGUGAAGCGAUCUGCCCU